rnacentral:rRNA from 1 species
AUUGAGCGCUGGCGGCAUGCCUUACACAUGCAAGUCGAACGGCAGCACGGGUGCUUGCACCUGGUGGCGAGUGGCGAACGGGUGAGUAAUAUAUCGGAACGUACCUUAUUGUGGGGGAUAACGCAGCGAAAGCUGUGCUAAUACCGCAUAAUCCCUAAGGGGGAAAGCGGGGGACCGUAAGGCCUCGCGCAAUUAGAGCGGCCGAUACCUGAUUAGCUAGUUGGUGAGGUAAAGGCUCACCAAGGCAACGAUCAGUAGCUGGUCUGAGAGGACGAUCAGCCACACUGGGACUGAGACACGGCCCAGACUCCUACGGGAGGCAGCAGUGGGGAAUUUUGGACAAUGGGGGCAACCCUGAUCCAGCAAUGCCGCGUGAGUGAAGAAGGCCUUCGGGUUGUAAAGCUCUUUUGUCUGGGAAGAAACAGCAGCUCUAACACAGUAUGCGAAUGACGGUACCUGAAGAAUAAGCACCGGCUAACUACGUGCCAGCCGCCGCGGUAA